AGUGAACGCUGGCGGUAGGCCUAACACAUGCAAGUCGAACGGCAGCACAGUAAGAGCUUGCUCUUACGGGUGGCGAGUGGCGGACGGGUGAGGAAUACAUCGGAAUCUACUUUUUCGUGGGGGAUAACGUAGGGAAACUUACGCUAAUACCGCAUACGACCUACGGGUGAAAGCAGGGGAUCUUCGGACCUUGCGCGAUUGAAUGAGCCGAUGUCGGAUUAGCUGGUUGGCGGGGUAAAGGCCCACCAAGGCGACGAUCCGUAGCUGGUCUGAGAGGAUGAUCAGCCACACUGGAACUGAGACACGGUCCAGACUCCUACGGGAGGCAGCAGUGGGGAAUAUUGGACAAUGGGCGCAAGCCUGAUCCAGUCAUACCGCGUGGGUGAAGAAGGCCUUCGGGUUGUAAAGCCCUUUUGUUGGGAAAGAAAAGCAGCAGGUUAAUACCCCGCUGUUCUGACGGUACCCAAAGAAUAAGCACCGGCUAACUUCGUG
rnacentral:rRNA from 1 species